rnacentral:rRNA from 1 species
CUUAAGCAUAUCAAUAAGCGGAGGAAAAGAAACCAACAGGGAUUGCCUCAGUAACGGCGAGUGAAGCGGCAACAGCUCAAAUUUGAAAUCUGGCUUUCGGGCCCGAGUUGUAAUUUGUAGAGGAUGCUUAGGGUUUGGUUCGGUCUAAGUUCCUUGGAACAGGACGUCAUAGAGGGUGAGAAUCCCGUAUGUGACCGGUUACCUUCGCCCGUGUUAAGCUCCUUCGACGAGUCGAGUUGUUUGGGAAUGCAGCUCUAAAUGGGUGGUAAAUUUCAUCUAAAGCUAAAUACCGGCCAUAGACCGAUAGCGCACAAGUAGAGUGAUCGAAAGAUGAAAAGCACUUUGGAAAGAGAGUUAAACAGUACGUGAAAUUGUUGAAAGGGAAGCGCUUGCAACCAGACUUGCGUAUAGUUAAUCAUCCGGUGUUCUCACCGGUGCACUUGAUUAUGCUCAGGCCAGCAUCAGUUCUGGUGGUUGGAUAAAGGCUUAGGGAAUGUAGCUCCUCUCGGGGAGUGUUAUAGCCCUAGGUGUAAUGCAUCCUACCGGGACUGAGGACCGCGCUUCGGCUAGGAUGCUGGCGUAAUGGUUGUAAGCGACCCGUCUUGAAACACGGACCAAGGAGUCUAACAUCUAUGCGAGUGUUUGGGUAUCAAACCCAUACGCGUAAUGAAAGUGAACGGAGGUGAGAGUCCUUAAGGAUGCAUCAUCGACCGAUCCUGAAGUCUUCGGAUGGAUUUGAGUAAGAGCAUAGCUGUUGGGACCCGAAAGAUGGUGAACUAUGCGUGAUUAGGGUGAAGCCAGAGGAAACUCUGGUGGAGGCUCGUAGGGAUUCUGACGUGCAAAUCGAUCUCCAAAAUUGCGUAUAGGGGCGAAAGACUAAUCGAACCAUCUAGUAGCUGGGUUCCUG